GCUGGGCGUGGUGGUGCGUGCCUGUAGUCCCAGCUACUUGGGAGGCUGAGGUAGGAGGAUGGCUUGAGCCCAGGAGGCAGAGGUUGCAGCGAGCCAAGAUCACACCACUGCACUCUGGCCUGGGCAACACAGCAAAACCCUGUCUCAA
rnacentral:SRP_RNA from 1 species